ACUUGUCAGAAAUGCUGAGUCACAGGCCCACCCGUAGGCAGAACACCUCGCUUCUUCGGCUGAAGUGUAUAAUUUCCUACCUAGCUCUCGAGGGGCACCUCAGUCGUCACGAAGAAAGCACGGGUACUACCGUGGGCAGUCAACCACGAAAAGCCACAACCAGUGCUGUCAAGUUCCAUAAAAUGAAAGAGAAACCAAUUAGUCCAAGCGGAGAAGAGGCUGGCUGGGCCCCAUCACCUGUCCCAGACACUCCACGCCCACACCCACCCAAACUGCAGUCUCCACUCAGGCAAGCCCACUCUGCCUGGGCAUCUCCAGAUCUGCCUGGCGUGGAUAGGGGGUCCCUGGGAGUCUCCAACCUCUCUCCUGAGACUCCAUCUCGUCAGUACCUGGGACAGCAGUCUUGGCGGUCUCCCUUACGGAACUUCUAAAACAAGCCUCCAGACCUACAAGUUGUCUGAAAAGUGAUCCAAUCAGAUUCUUGGCACUUUAUGCUUCCCAGGGGCUCCUGAUAAGUACCUGUGCCCACAGGAAGAGAUAAAGGGUACAGACACGUGCACGGACCCUAUU